GCAGUAGCCGCGGUAAUACGGAGGGUGCAAGCGUUAUCCGGAUUCACUGGGUUUAAAGGGUGCGUAGGCGGGCAGGUAAGUCGGUGGUGAAAUCUUCGAGUUUAACUCGGAAACUGCCGUUGAUACUAUCUGUCUUGAAUAACGUUGAGGUGAGCGGAAUAUGUCAUGUAGCGGUGAAAUGCUUAGAUAUGACAUAGAACACCGAUUGCGAAGGCAGCUCGCUAAACGCUCAUUGACGCUGAGGCACGAAAGCGUGGGGAUCAAACAGGAUUAGAUACCCCAGUAGUCCCUGUCUCUUAUAC
rnacentral:rRNA from 1 species